rnacentral:lncRNA from 1 species
AUUUUAGUAGCAAUAAAUCACCCUCAUAAAUUAAAGGACGAUCAGAUAUUAUCUACACGGUGGGACACCCGAAGGUGAUAAUACUUGCACUGGUGUCUGAAUGGUUUCUCCAGCACCCACCACUGGGCCUCCAAGCCUCAGCCCCAAGGUUCAGAUAUUUUAGGGUAACCGUCAACAGACACUGCUGCCAUGGCAUCAAAUCUCCACACUCGCACUUUCUACGGGGUCAACUAUGGAUCGCUUGAACGCAUCACCUGAGGGCUUGAGUUGGCCGCAGCUCCUCUGGGCUCUGAAAGGCUCCACACGACUUCUUGUUCCAAGACUGAGACUGAAGGGGCCGCCACCUGUCAUCCACUUCUCUCAAGGCACAGCAUGCAAAUUCCAGAGGCCGGAGCCAAGGUGCAGAGAGCUGGUGUGGCGUUUCACGUGUGGCCUUGUACAGGUUGGGUCUGCUCCCAGCUCAUUAGCCAAGCAGUGUGCAGGGCAGAGCUGGACACUGCACCUGAGCAGGUGGGCACUGCAACCCAGGCGGCGUGGCAGGUGCAGACGAGGGAGACUGAGACAGCUUACCCUGUGCAGGGAAGAUGGAAUGCGGAAUCCUGGUGCCUUCAUUUCAAAUCUGAAGCAAUGGCCUGCCAAGAAAACUCAUAAAUGUAUGAACAGCGUGCAAAAGCAAAAGAAGGGAGACAGCAUGUCCUUUGUGAGUGGGAAGGAAGUCAACCAGCAUUUAUGA